GACAGAGGCCCCGAGCGUUAGGCGGAAUCACUGGGCUUAAAGCGUGUGUAGGCGGAUCGUUAAGUGUCUUGUGAAAUCCCACGGCUCACCCGUGGAACUGCUGGGCAUACUGGCGAUCUUGGGCCGUUCAGGGGCGACUGGAACAAGCGGUGGAGCGGUGAAAUGCGUAGAUAUCGCUUGGAACGCCGAAGGUGAAAACAGGUCGCUGGGGACGCGCCGACGCUGAGACACGAAAGCCAGGGGAGCGAACGGG
rnacentral:rRNA from 1 species